CAGAAAAGAGUCUAGAAACGGACCCAUGCAUAUAGUCACCUGAUUUAUCAGAAAGGCAACAUGUGCCAACCUCUGGUCUAUGGCUUCCACGUUAUUUCAUUCUCCCUGGAGUGAGGCAGAGCUGUUCCAGAGCCUCCGAAAUUGUAUUUCACGGCGAUGGGUCACUUGAAUGAGGCGGACGAGGCUGUUCGGCGUCCCCGCCAGACAGCAGGUGGAGGAGUCUGUAUCCGCUUGGGCGACCGUAACAAAGUGCCACAGACUGGGUGAUGUAAACCACGGACAAACAGCAGAUAUUUAUUUUCUCACAGAUCUGGAGGCUGAAAGUCUGCGAUCAAGACGCUGGCAAAUUCAGUCUUAUUGAGGCCUCCUCACCUGCUUGCUGCUACCUGGCCGUGUCCUCACAUGGCCUUUCCUCAGUGCACGGAGGGCAGGGACGGAGCGUGUGAGUUCUCUGGUGUCUUUUUCUAAGGACUCUGAUCCCAUUGGAUGAGGGCUCCACCCAUAUGACCUCAUUUAACCUUGAUUCGCUCCGUGGAGGCUCUGUCUCAAAUACAGUCACCUUGGCAUUGGGGUUCAACAUAA